GAGGCCAGGGCCAUGAGGCAGGGAGGGGCCCCGACCAAGCCCAGGGACUGUGACUGACAAUUGCCAUGCCUAGUGAUUGGCUCACUGAGUAGCCUCAGUCCCGAAAACACUGCCUGGCACUCAGCAGACACUCAUAAAUACAAGUACAAUAAACCUUUCAUUUUCAACCAAGGUGGGGGAAAGUAGAUACUGCCACCAAGAGUGUAAAAAUUGGUUCUUGGAGUGCAAAACAAUUUUAAACAUUACAAUGGUUUGUGGCUUACCAAUAUAUGGUAUAUAUUAUGUUAAAAUUUUAAAACAUUAAAAAUUUCAUGUGAAAAGGGAUGUUAAGGGAAAAUUGUUUUAAAAAGGCUCCUCAGGGGAGUGAUGUCAUAGUUAAAAAAAAAAAAAGAAAGGUUGAGGAACACAGGAAUAAGUGAAUGAGUGAAUGAAUGGUUAUACAAAUAUGAUGGGUCGUUAUUGACAAGCUGGAGGCGGCCUCUGGUCUGAGCACCCAAUGGUUUCGCCAGCCUUUGGAAUCAGAGAUAUUAUAGUAAAAUAAAAUGAUAACAUAAAGUAAAUCAGUAAGAUUUCUCCAUUUAUUUAUUCUACAAAGAUCUACUGAGCUUCGCCGUUAAGAAUGCAGGUUCUAGAGCCUAGGAAUCUGGGUUCAUUUCUGACCACCACAGACCAACCGAUAAAAAAAAAAAAAAAAAAAAAGAAUCUCUGCGGGAUUUCGCCAAGAAGGACCUACCUAGAGUCCUUGUGCCGAUGAAUAAAAAUAGUACAGAAUGUAAAACCAAGUGAACACUCAACCCGUGCGGUUUGCAAACAUUAAGAAUGAGUGAAUCUGAGUAAUUUCAUCACGGAGGUGGUUGGUGGCAAGGAAUUACCCCUACCUCCUAGGGUGCAACCUCAUAAUUAUAAAGAGCUUCCCACGCGGCGCUCCAUUCAAAUAACAGAACUCACCACCGCCACCCAGGGCCGGAGACACACAGAGAAAUACAAGUCCCAGGAGGCCGUGCGGGGACGAGCCCCCGAAACAAGAAGCCGGCGGCCCCGAGGAAUGCUGGGAGUUGUAGUCCCCGACUCUGGCUGGUCAGAACCCCGGGCUGGGCUCCGUUAGCCGACUGCGUCUCACCUGGAAAUUGCCCACCACGGAGGUGCCCAGCGCACAGAGGAGCCCCGACCACAGAAUCAUCUGACCCAGGAGUCCAGGCUCCCAGUUCCUAGCCCCUCCUCCCUCAGACCCAGGCAUCAUCCUGCUUCUAACACUUACACCGUCCAGAUGCUAGCGACAGCCCAGACGGCCAGGAAAGCAGGCAGCAUGGACAGUCCCAGGACUGGGGCUGCGUGCGAGGUUCAAGGAAGAGGAGCUGGGAUGUGGGGUGUGGCUCCGGCGGGUGUGGGCUCUCCACAGAGCCAAAGUCCACACUGAAACAGCUGCAGGACAGCGUCAGGCCAAGAAUCUGAUCGCCACUUUCUAGGGACCUCACCCCCAAACCACGACUUCUGGUCUCCUCAGAACCUACCAGGCAACACCUUAGCUUUACAGGGCCUCCAACUUCCUCCUGCUUUAUAGGUUCAACUGUAAACUUCCAGCCCUUAUCUUCCCCAGGACCCAGAAAUUGGAGCUUCCAGCUCUCUCCACCCUCUCUCCUGGGGGAUCCAGAAGUCUGGGCCACCAGCUGUUCUAGAACACAAGCAUUUCUUUCUAGCCCCUGGGAUCCAACCUCC